rnacentral:rRNA from 3 species
UUUUAUGGAGAGUUUGAUCCUGGCUCAGGAUGAACGCUGGCGGCGUGCCUAAUACAUGCAAGUCGAGCGAACAGACGAGGAG